rnacentral:rRNA from 1 species
CCUACGGGGGGCAGCAGUGGGGAAUAUUGCACAAUGGGCGAAAGCCUGAUGCAGCAACGCCGCGUGAGCGAUGAAGGUCUUCGGGUCGUAAAGCUCUGUCCUAAGGGAAGAAUACUGACGGUACCUUAGGAGGAAGCCGCGGCCAACUACGUGCCAGGAGCCGCGGCUAUACGUAGGGGGCUAGCGUUAUCCGGAAUUACUGGGCGUAAAGGGUGCGUAGGCGGCCCUUCAAGUCCGCGGUGAAAGGCUACGGAGCGACCGUAGUAAGCCUCGGAACCUGUAGGGCUGGAGUGCAGGGGAGGGGAGUGGAAUUCCCAGUGUGGCGGUGAAAUGCGUAGAUAUUGGGAGGAACCCCAGGUGCGAGGGCGGCUCUCUGGACUGUAACUGACGUUGGGGCACGAAAGUGUGGGAGCGAACAGGAUUAGAUACCCGUGUAGUC